UGGAGUUUCUUUAAAAAUGGAGUUGGUUGAGCUUUACAGUCUUCGAGUGUUACAGCUCUACACAAAGGACAUAGACAUUAGUCACCAGGCAUAAGCUGGGAUGAUCAGAUCACUACAGAGUUCCUCUGCCAUGCUUCAUACCCACACUGAGCACCGUGGAAAGAUCUGGAGAUUGCUGUGAGUGAGCACAUUGCGUCUUGGAGCAGGUCAGCUUUGCUCAUCCAGGGAGAGAUAGUGUGAGCGGAGGCACCACCCACUGGAAAGCAUAGACUCCCCUGUGUCUAAAGCCGCGUGUAGCCCAAACACCAGUGCUGUGCUUCCCUAGGAAAAUGAUUUUGACACUGUCACUGUGAGCAGGCCGCCCAAGGAUAUCAGCUGAACCCAGGAUAACAAGAUUCAAGAAGACAAGGCACAAGCCCUCAGAUCAAGGCUGGACGAGGCAACCCAGCAGGAGGAAAAUGUCCCAAGACCAGGCAGAAGAGUCAGAGAUGUUCCCCCUCGCACUGCUAGGAGUCCCACGGAAACCAAGCUGCAAACAUAACGCACAUGCAGAGGACAUAGCUCAGACCUAUGCGGGCUCUGUGAUAGCUGCUUCAGUCUCUGAGAGCCCCAUGAGUCCUGCUGAUCUGAUCUUGUGCUUCCUUCCUCCCCCUCUUCAAUGGAGUUCCCUGAGCUAGGUCUAAUGAUUGGCUGUGGGUCUCUGUGUCUGUUCCCAUCAGUUACUGGAUGAAGCCUCUCUGGUGACGAUUGGGCUAGACACCGAUCUAUGAGUAUAGCAGAUUAUCAUAAGAAACCAUUGACACCCCUUCCCAAUGGCCUUUAACUUAAAGGUGCCAGGAGACACACCAAAGCAGGUUCUGAUGGGCUGAGCUCUGGCCUGCAGGGCUCGACUGAGGCCUCAGCGUGGCAGAACACUGGCUAGCUGUUGGCGGGAGCAUGGAAAAUCAAGUUCCCUCCUGUGUAGGCAGAGAGAAUAUUGUUUUGUUUUUAUGCUGGUCAAAAGUCUUCAUGACCUGCUUGCUUGCUUCUCUUGUUGCCAAAUUCUGGGUAUUCUGCCAAGGAUCUGCUGCCAUAUUGGAGAAUGAUUAUUUAAGCCCCUUUGGGCUGAUGGCAAAAAUCUAAAUGCCUCUCUGCUUGGAGAUAAAACAUAUACACAUCUUUGGAUUGACAUGAGAUGUAUGGAAAUAGUUUAUUAUUAACUGGAUACAUUCUCAUAUUCUAUCCCCUCUACCUCCUACUGGUCCAGGGCCUCUUGCAUGGUGGGUAAACGCCUACCACUUAAGCCAAUCCCAGCCCCCUUUUCUCUUUUUAAAAAUAUGAUAAAUAGGAGACCUUUAGUCCCAGCACUCAGGAGGCAGAGGCAGAUCUCUGAGUUCAAGCCCAGCCUGGUCUACAAAGUGAGUUCAUGGCUACACAGUAAAAUCUGUCUCAAAAAGAAAAAAAAAACCCUGAAAUAUAUAUAUCUGUAUGUAUAAUGUAUAUGUUUAUCUAUAUACAUAUAUAUGUAUACAUACAUACAUACUUACAUACUUACAUAUGUGAAUAAAUGGCAUUGCUGUGCAGGACCUCUGAAGAGGAGAAACCACUUCCUGGGCAGUAGGGUAGGCUUGGGGCAGACAAGACGGGUGAGAGUUACGCAGCCCCAAGAGUAAAGGAGGCUUAAGAAGCCUUGACUCAUUUACAAUGUCCCAUGCCAUUUCCGUUCUAAAAGGUUUUAAUGGGAAGACACAGGGAUGCUAUUCUAUUCUGGAAAUAUGCAUGGAAGAUUCUUGUAAUAGUUAGCACGUUGUUUGAUUUGAAGUUCCAGGUUAGCACAAAAUAAAACUUAAGCCAUCUGCGUGC
ensembl:lincRNA 5730460C07Rik RIKEN cDNA 5730460C07 gene